UACGAAGGGGGCUAGCGUUGCUCGGAAUUACUGGGCGUAAAGCGCACGUAGGCGGCUUCUUAAGUCGGUGGUGAAAUCCUGGAGCUCAACUCCAGAACUGCCUUUGAUACUGGGGAUCUCGAGUCCGGGAGAGGUGAGUGGAACUCCGAGUGUAGAGGUGAAAUUCGUAGAUAUUCGGAAGAACACCAGUGGCGAAGGCGGCUCACUGGCCCGGUACUGACGCUGAGGUGCGAAAGCGUGGGGAGCAAACAGG
rnacentral:rRNA from 1 species